rnacentral:sRNA from 1 species
UUAAGUCGAUUUGAAAGGCUUCUAUGUCUUACAAACUAGUUAAGCAUGUUUUAGAAUGUUGUUUUACUGGGACUUUAUUGACCCUUUAAACUUUGUACAACUUUCAGCAACGGAUCUCUUGGCUCUCCCAUCGAUGAAGAACGCAGCGAAAUGCGAUAAGUAAUGUGAAUUGCAGAAUUCAGUGAAUCAUCGAAUCUUUGAACGCACCUUGCGCCCUCUGGUAUUCCGGAGGGCAUGCCUGUUUGAGUGUCAUUAAAUUCUCAACUUCAAUAGUUUAUUAAUGAACUUGUUGAAGCUUGGACUUGGAGGCUUUGCUGGCGUCUUUAGAUGUUCGGCUCCUCUUAAAUGCAUUAGUGGAACCCGUUUGUUGGACCAUCCUUGGUGUGAUAAUUAUCUACGCUUUGGUUAGUUCAAUGAACUCUAUGGGCAUCAGUUAACGCUGGAUCUUUUUUCAUUAAGUUGCUUUACCUGGGCUCAUUAGAGAAAAUCCCUCUGCUCUCUAAUCGUCUGUGUAUACGGACAAUUUACUUGACCAUUGACCUCAAAUCAGGUCGACAGCC